CCCGUACUUGGUGUUACUGCGAAGGGGGGACGGAGAAGGCUAUGUUGGCCGGGCGACGGUUGUCCCGGUUUAAGCGUGUAGGUGUGUGUUCCAGGUAAAUCCGGUUCACUUUAACACUGAGGCGUGAUGACGAGGCACUACGGUGCUGAAGCAACAAAUGCCCUGCUUCCAGGAAAAGCCUCUAAGCAUCAGGUAACACGAAAUCGUACCCCAAACCGACACAGGUGGUCAGGUAGAGAAUACCAAGGCGCUUGAGAGAACUCGGGUGAAGGAACUAGGCAAAAUGGUGCCGUAACUUCGGGAGAAGGCACGCUGACACGUAGGUGA
rnacentral:rRNA from 1 species